CCUACGGGAGGCUGCAGUGGGGAAUAUUGCACAAUGGGGGAAACCCUGAUGCAGCGACGCCGCGUGAGUGAAGAAGUAUUUCGGUACGUAAAGCUCUAUCAGCAGGGAAGAAAAUGACGGUACCUGACUAAGAAGCCCCGGCUAACUACGUGCCAGCAGCCGCGGUAAUACGGAGGGGGCAAGCGUUAUCCGGAUUUACUGGGUGUAAAGGGAGUGUAGACGGCAGCGCAAGUCUGGAGUGAAAUCCCAUGGCUAAACCAUGGAACUGCUUUGGAAACUGUGCAGCUAGAGUGCAGGAGAGGUAAGCGGAAUUCCUGGUGUAGCGGUGAAAUGCGUAGAUAUUAGGAGGAACACCAGUGGCGAAGGCGGCUUACUGAGCUGUAACUGACGUUGAGGCUCGAAAGCGUGGGGAGCAAACAGGAUUAGAUACCCUUGUAGUC
rnacentral:rRNA from 1 species